UCAAAAACAUGUCUUUUUGUUAAUAAUUUAAAGUCUAAUCUGCCCGCUGAUAAAUUAUUAAAGGGCUGCAGUAUAUUGACUGUACAAAGGUAGCAUAAUCAUUUGUCUUUUAAUUGAAGACUUGUAUGAAAGAUUUGAUGAAAUAUAAACUGUCUCUAAUUUAUUAAUAAAAAUUAAUUUUUUAGUUAAAAAGCUAAAAUAAUAUUAAAAGACGAGAAGACCCUAUAAAGUUUUAUAAUUUAUUUUUUUAUUUUUAAAUAUUAAUAUAAAUAUUAUAAUUGAAUAAAUUAUUUUAUUGGGGUGAUAGAAAAAUUAAAUAAACUUUUUUUUAAAAAUAACAUUUAUAAAUGAAAAAUUGAUCCAUUAUUAAUGAUUAAAAGAAAAAAUUACUUUAGGGAUAACAGCGUAAUGUUUUUUUUUAGUACAAAUAAAAAAAAAAGUUUGCGACCUCGAUGUUGGAUUAAGAUAAAAUUUGGAUGCAAAAGUUUAAAAUUUUGAUCUGUUCGAAUCAUUAAAAUCUUAAUGAUCUGAGCU
rnacentral:rRNA from 1 species